rnacentral:rRNA from 1 species
GACGAACGCUGGCGGCGUGCUUAACACAUGCAAGUCGAACGGUGAAGCGCCUUCCUUUUUGGUGGGUGUGGAUGAGUGGCGAACGGGUGAGUAACACGUGAGUAACCUGCCCCCUUCUUCUGGAUAACCGCAUGAAAGUGUGGCUAAUACGGGAUAUUCUGGGUCUGUCGCAUGAUGGGUCUGGGACAGAUAUUGUUUCGGUGGGGGAUGGGCUCGCGGCCUAUCAGCUUGUUGGUGGGGUGAUGGCCUACCAAGGCGGUGGCGGGUAGCCGGCCUGGGAGGGUGGACGGCCACACUGGGACUGAGGCACGGCCGAGACUCCUAUGGGAGGCAGCAGUGGGGAGUAGUGCACAAUGGGCGCAAGCGUGAUGCAGCGACGCCGCGGGAGGGAUGGAGGCCUGCGGGUUGUGAACCUCUUUCGCCAGUGAAGCAGGCCUGCCUCGUUUGUGGGUGGGUUGACGGUAGCUGGAUAAGAAGCGCCGGCUAACUACGUG